GACAGUCGGCAGCAGUUAGCAGUCAGUCGUCGCUUGUGAAGGCGCCUCGCCAAAUGUUGCAAAAAAGCGGACACGCGACGUAUACGUAACGUUACAACGUGCCCGUGCAAUUCGUGUGUUGAGGGCGCGCGCGAAUAAAGGCAAAUUGAUGUCGAAUGCUAAGUGAUUGCAGUUUAUCAGCAUGCGCAGAAAAAGGAAAAACAAA